rnacentral:rRNA from 1 species
AUUGAACGCUGGCGGCAGGCCUAACACAUGCAAGUCGAACGGUAACAGGAAACAGCUUGCUGUUUCGCUGACGAGUGGCGGACGGGUGAGUAAUGUCUGGGAAACUGCCUGAUGGAGGGGGAUAACUACUGGAAACGGUAGCUAAUACCGCAUAACGUCGCAAGACCAAAGAGGGGGACCUUCGGGCCUCUUGCCAUCGGAUGUGCCCAGAUGGGAUUAGCUAGUAGGUGGGGUAACGGCUCACCUAGGCGACGAUCCCUAGCUGGUCUGAGAGGAUGACCAGCCACACUGGAACUGAGACACGGUCCAGACUCCUACGGGAGGCAGCAGUGGGGAAUAUUGCACAAUGGGCGCAAGCCUGAUGCAGCCAUGCCGCGUGUAUGAAGAAGGCCUUCGGGUUGUAAAGUACUUUCAGCGGGGAGGAAGGGAGUAAAGUUAAUACCUUUGCCCAUUGACGUUACCCGCAGAAGAAGCACCGGCUAACUCCGUG